GCGGCGGUGGCCGCAGCGGCCGCGGCCGCACCGAUGUGGGCGGCGACAGCGCUCGACGAGCGGAUCGCCGUCGUCCGACGCGCCGCCGCCCUGC
rnacentral:tRNA from 2 species